CAGCGGCGGACGGGUGAGUAAUACCUAGGAAUCUGCCUGGUAGUGGGGGACAACGUUUCGAAAGGAACGCUAAUACCGCAUACGUCCUACGGGAAAAGCAGGGGACCUUCGGGCCUUGCGCUAUCAGAUGAGCCUAGGUCGGAUUAGCUAGUUGGUGAGGUAAUGGCUCACCAAGGCUACGAUCCGUAACUGGUCUGAGAGGAUGAUCAGUCACACUGGAACUGAGACACGGUCCAGACUCCUACGGGAGGCAGCAGUGGGGAAUAUUGGACAAUGGGCGAAAGCCUGAUCCAGCCAUGCCGCGUGUGUGAAGAAGGUCUUCGGAUUGUAAAGCACUUUAAGUUGGGAGGAAGGGCAGUAAGCGAAUACCUUGCUGUUUUGACGUUACCGACAGAAUAAGCACCGGCUAACUCUGUGCCAGCAGCCGCGGUAAUA
rnacentral:rRNA from 1 species